CUGUGAUUCCUGCUAUUUCUGCGACUUCUGUGAUUUCUGUGACUCCUGCGAUUUCUGCGAGUUACCACUGUAUGAAAAAGUUACAUCUGUCCACACAGAAAAUUGCAUCUCAACAAACCUGUCACUGGUACGCGAACUACAUUUUAGUCACUCAGUAAAGUGAUAACUCAAAAUAUCAUUGUCAACAGAUCUGGAGAAAUUGCCACUGCGUCUUUAGACCGUUUUCGUCAGACGAGAGACACAGUUCUGACUCUGAUUGCUGGUUGCUUUACGUAUCUAUCCACAUCAAGGCUGUUGAGAGAGACUCGUGAAGAUUCAAGACAGCUCUUAGAAGAUUUUGCAGUUUAAAAGUGACAUAAUUGUGCAGAUGAGUGAUUAAACUGUGUUUUAUUGAAGUAGUUGUGCGAUUUUAAAGGAAUAAUAAAUGUUAA